rnacentral:lncRNA from 1 species
GUGAAUUCCUUAAUCAAAGGACUCAAAGUGAGUGCAAGGUACUGCUCCGAUUAUCAAACACACAGUGCUGACCAGAAAGGAUCUUUUAUUCUAUUUAGGUAUUUUUAGAUCUGAGCUGUGGCACCUGUUCAAGCUGCAGUCUGGUUGUUUACUUUCUUUAUCUCAUAGUGUCACAUACAGUAGCAUGUUUGAAGAAACACUGAGGUGACUGGAAGGUUCUCCCACAGGGACAAACACUCUAAUGUGAACAUACAUUAUUCACUAGGUUAUAAGCAAGGGAAAUCAAUUACAGCAGAGAGAAAGAAAUGCAGCAGCAGUAUUUUGCAGUGAGAAAACAGAGGAGUACUGAAAGUCACGAGGUGGAUAAACUUAUCAUCUGUUGCUAUUACAGAAUUGACCAGCAGCUAAACAAGUUUCAAGGCCUCUUUAAAGUUGAUCUGUACACACAGUUAGUAGGAAGACAAUACCUGACUUAAAGAGCUUGCAAUCUAAUGAAAGGUUUAUUAUGAGAAAAUCUCUGCAAGAGGAUGAAAAACCACAAAUGGAUACACAGGGGCAAGUAGAGACAACUUGUCUGCUCAAUUAGAUGUUGAUUCAAGGUUCUCAGAUCAGCUCUGAGUAAGACAAUGCUGGCAGGGGGGCCACACUUGCUUGUGGCCAAGUAUCAUUCCGGAAUGAUGAAACAGGUUUCUAAAAACGAGGUCAAAAUGGGAAUGGACUUAACAAACUCAUUUCAAGAGCCAAGCAAGUGGUCGGUGGUUUCAGCGAAAUGUUUUAAACAUGAUAUAUCAUCAAGGAUCCUACCAUUGUUUCUAUCACAGUUCUACAGAUUGGAGAAUAAAAAUGUGAGAAGAGUUAGACUGAUUUUUUCACAAUGGACAGUGAAUGUAUGUAUGUUUUUCUAUUACCUUUUUGAAAAUCAGUGCAUCAUCUAAUUGAAGAGAUUUACCAAUUUAUAGCCUGAGUAAAUUUAGUCCCAGUUUAAUGCUGCAGUAAACAUAAUUCUUCCAACAAAUUUGUGGUAAUGCUAGUUCUCUUAAUGUGAAAAAGUCAAGUUGAAUUCUGUCUGAGGGGAUCUGAGCUGUGUUCUUGAGCAAGGAGAAUACAUGUGGGAGGAUUUUCAGUUUCUGAUGUUGAAUGACUUUCUCAUUUGAGGGACUAGUUUGAUCCAGUCAGAAAGAAGGGUAGCCAGCAGGAGGAUAAGGCCAUAAGUGAGAAGAGGGAAGCACUCAUCAAGAGAAGGAGAGAAGGAGAAUAGGUUCAAAUUCCUACUCCAAUAAGUUGUAAAUAAAAAUGAA